CGGGUGAGUAACGCGUGAGGAACCUGCCUCAAAGAGGGGGACAACAGUUGGAAACGACUGCUAAUACCGCAUAAGCCCACGGCUCGGCAUCGAGCAGAGGGAAAAGGAGUGAUCCGCUUUGAGAUGGCCUCGCGUCCAAUUAGCUAGUUGGUGAGGUAACGGCCCACCAAGGCAACGAUCGGUAGCCGGACUGAGAGGUUGAACGGCCACAUUGGGACUGAGACACGGCCCAG
rnacentral:rRNA from 1 species